UUUCAAGAUUCUAAGAGCAAACGGUGGAUGCCUUGGCAUCUGGAGCCGAAGAAGGACGUAUAAAUCUGCGAUAAGCCUCGGGGAGCUGAUAAUAGAGCUUUGAUCCGAGGAUCUCCGAAUGGGGAAACCCCGCCAGGCCCUUUGGGUGACCUGGUGACUCCCGCCUGAAUAUAUAGGGCGGGUAGAGGGAACGUGGGGAAGUGAAACAUCUCAGUACCCACAGGAAGAGAAAGCAAAAGCGAUUCCGUUAGUAGUGGCGAGCGAAACCGGAAGAGGCCAAACCGAUCAUGUGUGAUAUCCGGUAGGAGUUGCAUGGUCGGGGUUGCGGGACUUUCCGUACAGUUCUACCGAGCUGUGAGGGCAAUGAGCGCGAUAUAGACGAAUGGUCUUGAAAGGCCAGUCAUAGAGGGUGCGAACCCCGUAGUCGAAAUGUCGUCGCCUGUCCGGAGAGUAUCCCAAGUAGCACGGGGCCCGAGAAAUCCCGUGUGAAUCUGUCAGGACCACCUGAUAAGCCUAAAUACUCCCAGAUGACCGAUAGCGGACAAGUACCGUGAGGGAAAGGUGAAAAGUACCCCGGGAGGGGAGUGAAAUAGUACCUGAAACCGUUUGCUUACAAACCGUUGGAGCACCCUUGUUGGUGUGACAGCGUGCCUUUUGAAGAAUGAGCCUGCGAGUUAGUGAUAUGUGGCGAGGUUAACCCGUGAGGGGCAGCCGUAGCGAAAGCGAGUCUUAAUAGGGCGUAUGAGUCGCAUGUUCUAGACCCGAAGCGAAGUGAUCUAUCCAUGGCCAGGUUGAAGCGACGGUAAGACGUCGUGGAGGACCGAACCCACUUCAGUUGAAAAUGGAGGGGAUGAGCUGUGGAUAGGGGUGAAAGGCCAAUCAAACUUCGUGAUAGCUGGUUCUCUCCGAAAUGCAUUUAGGUGCAGCGUUGCGUGUUUCUUGCCGGAGGUAGAGCUACUGGAUGGACGAUGGGCCCCAAAAGGUUACUGACUUCAGCCAAACUCCGAAUGCCGGUAAGUGAGAGCGCAGCAGUGAGACGGUGGGGGAUAAGCUUCAUCGUCGAGAGGGAAACAACCCAGACCACCAUCUAAGGUCCCUAAGCGCGUGCUAAGUGGGAAAGGAUGUGGAGUUGCAUAGACAACCAGGAGGUUGGCUUAGAAGCAGCCACCCUUGAAAGAGUGCGUAAUAGCUCACUGGUCAAGUGAUUCCGCGCCGACAAUGUAACGGGGCUCAAGCACGCCACCGAAGUUGUGGCAUUUAUAUUAUAGGCAGGCCUUCGUGGUCCAGCCGUAUGGAUGGGUAGGAGAGCGUCGUGUGGCCAGCGAAGCGGCGGUGUGAACCAGCCGUGGAGGCCACACGAGUGAGAAUGCAGGCAUGAGUAGCGAAAGACGGGUGAGAAACCCGUCCUCCGAAAGACCAAGGGUUCCAGGGCCAGGCUAAUCCGCCCUGGGUAAGUCGGGACCUAAGGCGAGGCCGACAGGCGUAGUCGAUGGACAACGGGUUGAUAUUCCCGUACCGAUGAAGAACCGCCCAAGACAACCCAGUAAUGCUAAGUGUCUGAAUCCUUGAUUCGAUCCCUUCGGGGUGACGGUCUUGGCCUAGCACACGACCCUACGCUGGUGCGUUUAGCGUAUUAACAGGUGUGACGCAGGAAGGUAGCUGAGCCGGGCGAUGGUAGUCCCGGUCUAAGGAUGUAGGGCAGAAGAUAGGCAAAUCCGUCUUCUAUUGAGCCUGAGACCCGAUGGGUAGUCCUCACGGACGAAAUCAGUGAUCCUAUGCUGCCGAGAAAAGCAUCGACGCGAGGUUCCAAUCGCCCGUACCCCAAACCGACUCAGGUGGUCAGGUAGAGAAUACUAAGGAGAUCGAGAGAAUCGUGGUUAAGGAACUCGGCAAAAUGCCCCCGUAACUUCGGGAGAAGGGGGGCCUGAGGCGUGUAGGGAUUUACUCCUGAAGCGUUUGAAGGCCGCAGAGACCAGUGGGAAGCGACUGUUUACUAAAAACACAGGUCCGUGCUAAGUCGCAAGACGAUGUAUACGGACUGACGCCUGCCCGGUGCUGGAAGGUUAAGAGGAACGGUUAGCACGCAAGUGCGAAGCUGAGAAUUUAAGCCCCAGUAAACGGCGGUGGUAACUAUAACCAUCCUAAGGUAGCGAAAUUCCUUGUCGGGUAAGUUCCGACCUGCACGAAUGGCGUAACGACUUCCCAGCUGUCUCAACCGCGAACUCGGCGAAAUUGCACUACGAGUAAAGAUGCUCGUUACGCGCAGCAGGACGGAAAGACCCCGUGACCUUUACUACAGCUUGGUAUUGGUGUUCGGUGUGGCUUGUGUAGGAUAGGUGGGAGACUUUGAAGCUCGGACGCUAGUUCGGGUGGAGUCAUUGUUGAAAUACCACUCUGGUCACUCUGGAUAUCUAACUUCGAACCGUAAUCCGGUUCAGGGACAGUGCCUGGUGGGUAGUUUAACUGGGGCGGUUGCCUCCUAAAAAGUAACGGAGGCGCCCAAAGGUUCCCUCAACCUGGUUGGUAAUCAGGUGUCGAGUGUAAGUGCACAAGGGAGCUUGACUGUGAGACUGACAAGUCGAGCAGGGACGAAAGUCGGGACUAGUGAUCCGGCAGUGGCUUGUGGAAGCGCUGUCGCUCAACGGAUAAAAGGUACCUCGGGGAUAACAGGCUGAUCUUGCCCAAGAGUCCAUAUCGACGGCAUGGUUUGGCACCUCGAUGUCGGCUCGUCGCAUCCUGGGGCUGGAGUAGGUCCCAAGGGUUGGGCUGUUCGCCCAUUAAAGCGGUACGCGAGCUGGGUUUAGAACGUCGUGAGACAGUUCGGUCCCUAUCCGCUGCGCGCGUAGGAAAUUUGAGAAGAUCUAUCCCUAGUACGAGAGGACCGGGAUGGACGAACCUCUGGUGUGUCAGUUGUUCCGCCAGGAGCACCGCUGAUUAGCUACGUUCGGAACGGAUAACCGCUGAAAGCAUCUAAGCGGGAAGCCGGCUUCGAGAUGAGAUUUCCAUCCCUUUUAGGGUGAAGGCUCCCGGCUAGACUACCGGGUUGAUAGGCAGGAUGUGGAAGCGAGGACUAAAGACUCGUGGAGCUGACCUGUACUAAUAAGCCGAUAUCUUGAAAAC
rnacentral:rRNA from 1 species